rnacentral:rRNA from 1 species
AUUCCAGCUCCAGUAGCGUAUAUUAAAGUUGUUGCAGUUAAAAAGCUCGUAGUUGGAUUUCUGGCCUGACGAAACUGACCCGCCGCGGUUACGUGUGUGAGUGUCGGGCUUCGUCUGCCAUCCUUCCAGAAAACGUUUCUACCCUUCACUGGGCUGGAUUCGCGAUCUGGAACUUUUACUUUGAAGAAAUUAGAGUGUUCAAAGCAGGCUUGCGCUGUGAAUACAUUAGCAUGGAAUAAUAAUUUAGGACUCAGGUCUUAUUUUGUUGGUUCUUAAGAUCCAAGUAAUGAUUGAUAGGGAUAGUUGGGGGUGCUAGUAUUCAGCGGCCAGAGGUGAAAUUCUUGGAUUCGCUGAAGACUAACUUAUGCGAAAGCAUUCACCAAGGAUGUCUUCAUUG